AGUCCAGCCGCAGGGGCCACCCGAACAGUCUCUCCUCCUCACAGAAGCCUGGAGCUGGGCAUCCAAGAAGAAGCAGCCUCAUUUGUUUUCUGGUGUCAUCGUAGGUGGCCACCUAUGGCUUUUGGGCUUCUCACCUGGGGCGGGUGGGUUCUGCACCACCCUCCCACCCUCCUUCCUCCGUGUGGACGAUAGAGCCACAUCCAGCACCACGGACAGCUCCCGGGCGGCAGCACAAGCCAUUGUGGAAUCUCCACCAGGUGUACAGAACGGUGCCUCUGCGUCCUGCCACUCAGGACCUCUCAAGUCCCCGAUGUGAUGGCUCCUCAGCAUGAUCAGGAGAAAUUCCAUGAUCUUGCUUAUUCCUGUCUUGGGAAGUCCUUCUCCAUGUCUAACCAAGAUCUAUAUGGCUAUAGCACCAGCUCUUUGGCUCUUGGCUUGGCAUGGCUAAGUUGGGAGACCAAAAAGAAGAAUGUACUUCAUCUGGUUGGGCUGGAUUCCCUCUGAUAAGCCUUCCCAGUUGACUGAAAGAUGAGGCUAGGCUCUAGCAAGUUGAAGUCAAACCAGCUCCUUCAAGAAGCUUUGAGCAGAAUGAAGUGGGGAGGACCCAGCUUCCAGCCCAGGAAGCCCACUGUACCUGGAGCCAUCUGGGAUAAGACUUUGACCCAUGACUCCCAUAUCCACAGCCUGUCCAUCCUAGCCCAUCCCAGUUUAUCCUGUAUCAUUUGAGCUGGGAUUCCCACAUCCUCUGAGUUGGAAGUCCCAUCUCAAGUCUUCAAUAAAGACUCUUGAAUAUUGAAUCACA
rnacentral:lncRNA from 1 species